rnacentral:rRNA from 1 species
UUUUCAGAUAUGAGAAGUUGCCUUCGGGAACCGUGAGACAGGUGCUGCAUGGCUGUCGUCAGCUCGUGUUGUGAAAUGUUGGGUUAAGUCCCGCAACGAGCGCAACCCUUAUCCUUUGUUGCCAGCGGUUAGGCCGGGAACUCAAAGGAGACUGCCAGUGAUAAACUGGAGGAAGGUGGGGAUGACGUCAAGUCAUCAUGGCCCUUACGACCAGGGCUACACACGUGCUACAAUGGCGCAUACAAAGAGAAGCGACCU